rnacentral:lncRNA from 1 species
UCAAAUCCAUUAGAUUUCUCUAAUCCCCAAACUUGAAAGAAAAGAUAAAGAAAUUUGCAAACCAUGAAGAGAGACUACAACCAUCUCCAACCCAAUCCAGGCCCGUCGGCUCUCGGCAGCUCAUCCAUCUACGGCGGUUCUUCAACCGGAAAGGCCAACAUAUCUUUGAGGAGCUUCGUGCUCAGAUUAAGGUUUUUAUUCUCAAAAUAAUCAACCUCAACCUCAAACCCAACCACAGACCCACUAUUCAUCAUCUUCUACCACACCCAACAACAUUAAAUUCGAAAAACGCUUGAAAUCAUCUUCUACCACACCCAACCGCAGACCCACGAUUCAUCAUCGUAAUCUCGCUGAAGCUUUGGGUGUUUUCAGUGUUUUAGAUUUUUAAGAAUGGGUUUUUUCAGUGUUUUGGUGUCGAUUUUUUCCGUUUGUAGAAGUUUUUCUAGAGUUGAGUGUUUUGAGGUUUCCACAUAAAAGAACGAUUUUUCCAUCUUGUUUCUAACAGGUGCUCAUACUUGAUAUUGGUUUCAUAGUCUGAGAUUUUGUCACCCUUUUUUGCUCCUUGAAUUUUCCUCUUUUUUUUUUUAAAAAAAAAAUUCUGUUUCACUUUUUAAAUAUAAUCAGCCCUUUCUUUUUGGUUCUGCCUUUGUUCAAUCUUUCCUUGCAUAUUUCCAUCAAGCUCACUCUAGUUUUAAAAACCAGAUCUGCACGUUACUUGAGUGUUCAUUCGUACUUUAUAAUCAAGCCCAACAUUCGCAAGAAGAGAUCCAUAUUUUUUUAGUUUGAAAUUGCAACCUUCUUUUUUCAAUAGAUUUUCCAUAAAUUUUUUUUAUAAAUUGCAAUUAUUUUAUCUAAAUUUCCAUAUUUUAUAUUUUUAAUAAAAUAAUAAUUUUUUAAUUUUUAUAAUUUCAAUAAAUAUUUUUUAUAAAUUUUAAAAAAUGCCACGUCAGUAAUGAUGUGUCAUACCAUUUCAAUGGUGUCAUUACAUGAUAUCAUUAGCUGAGGAUGCCACGUUAGAUUAAUAUGUUGACCAUUAGUUGAUUUAUUGAUUCCUUUAGUUUUGAUCUUAUUUGAAAAAUUUUACAAUAUUGUGGACAAGAAUGAGAAAAAUAAUAUUAAGGGCUAAAGUACGAAAAUUCACAAAUACUAAGGUCGAAUUUUACAAUUAUGCUUAAAGAAAACCAUCUAGAAAGUAGAACUAGUAGUCUUCUUUUCUUUUUCUUUUUUUGAAUUUUUGAAUUUAGUUAAUAUUAUAAAUUUAUUUAUUUAAUAAAUGUGGAUUUGGGUUGGGUAAAAUUAUAUUUUGGUUUUAGGUUUUAGAAAAUGUGUUAUUUUAUUUGGGUUUGGGCUGGAUGUAAGAUUAAUAUAAUUUAUUUGGAUUUGGAUUCAUAUAUAAAUAUUUAAUUGGUUCAAAAAAACUAAUUAUACUUAACCAAAAUGAUUUGAUGGAAUUGCGGUAUUGGCUUGAUUUAGUUAAAUAAGUUGGUUCUAAUAAUUAAUUGUAAAAAAUGAUAUACUAUUACGCAAUAUGAUGAUAUAAUAUGUACUUAUUACUAAAAUUUUUAAUACAUAUAUAUUUUUUAAAUAUUUAAUUUUUAAAAAUAUUCUACUAUAUUUCUAUAGGACAUUUGUUAACCUUUUGAUCUUGUUUAUGGAGUUUAAAAACUCCACUGAAAGUGUACCAAAUGUUUUCUCAUAUAUAUAUAUUGUCACACCCGAUUUUAUUUAAACUCGAAAAUUUGGAAUAGUUAGGGGUUAACUUGAAAGGGACCGUAAGAUGGGGAUCUCUAUUGAAAAAUGUGAGAAAAAUAGAGGCUGAUUUUGACAUAGUUGAGAUCCAAAUCUGAUUCGGUUAGAUUAGAACCAACAUGUCCCUUAGUGGGGGACAAAAUGAUUGUAAAUGGAUAGUUUCUAUACGAUUGAAGACUGUGCAUGAGGGUCUAUAAAUAGUUGAGAAGUGAAUUCUCAGGUGGAUUCCUUUCAAUUUUGUUCUACUCUCUCCUCCUUUUCAUCUUCCUUGGUUGCUUUGAAGAAGAAGUAGCUAUAGAAGCUCUGCAUGGGGCAGUGAUCACAAGGGUUGAUUCGGAUAAGUUGAGAAUCCAGUAAGCUGGUAAGGUUCUAAGUCCUUUGGAGUACUUAAGAUUUAGAAAAUAAAGUUAAAGGUUUUUAGAACCAUUCUAGGGGUUUUGCAUAUUUUUGGGAAACCGAGUUUUAAGUUGAAUGUACUGAGUCUAAUUCAUGAUUUUGGUUAUUAUGCUUAGUUACCAGGAUAAGGGAAACUCUAGGCUCUAGAAAAGCUAAGCUAAUAAGGCGAAGAGACAUCAUGUUUAAAAUGUUGAGUAGUUGUCAUGACUCUGUGUUAAGUUCUAGGAUGAUGAAUGAUCUUUGUUGAUUGUGUAUGCUAAGCAUGGGUAGGAUCCUAUGGUAUAUGAAUGUUCACCAAAGUAGUUCAAUGUGCAUGAAAUGGUUAUGAUUUCAUGUUUUAAUAAAUAGUGUACUCUAUGCUGGUAUGCAUGUAUUGUAUGAUUGUAACAGUGGGAUGUUGAAGUUAGGAUUGGGAAGGAUGAUUUUGUUAGAUACUACCAUACGAUAUUGCUUAGUGCAAACCAUGACGUGCAAAGCUCUAGGCCUUGCAAAUAGGACACUACGAUGUACGAGCAUCAAACUCGUAUAAGUCUUGUAAAUGGCUGGUUAUUUUUAUUAAUGUUCGUUUGAUUGAAUUAAAUCUUAUAAUGGUUUAAAGUUGAAUAAAAUUAAUCGUAGUCACUCCAUGAUGAAUGUGAUAUCCUGUAACUCGGAAUCGACGAUCGGGUUGGGGAUAAGGUGUUACAGUAUAAAACAUGUGAUGAGCUAUUACUUUAUAAAGGUUUCAAUAUACAUUAUUGGUGUUUUAAAACAGGGUUCAAUACAUUUGGCAGAUAAGUUCAAAUAAAUAGAUUCAUGAACAAAUUAUAUUAAUUUAAAUCCAAGCAUUGAAAUUAAGAAGAUUCUCUUAAAAACAGUGUCUUAACAAAAUAAUAUAUUGUUAUAAAGAUUGGUGUCAAAAGUACAGUUACACGCCACCCCCAAAGGUCAUGCAUGAUACAGGACAAAACAGAUAGCUCACAAUAGCAACAGUGCUCUAGCGUAGUCCAUUCAACAAAAAACCUUCCUUUAAACAGCACGCCUGAGAAGGAAAAGAUAACAUAGUAAGUUCAUACGAACUUACUGAGUUCCCAAAAGUAAAGAGAAAUCAUAUACCCUAAUUCUUACAAUAGUACCAAACCUUUCAGAAGGAGUUUCACAUGAUUCCAAUAUGUGUGCUCGUGUAUUAUUAUUUAAUUAAUGUUUAUGGAGUUGCAUUAUAGUCGUAUUAAAUUUUGGUGAAGAAAUUUUAAUGUUUAGUUAGUUAAUUAAAGAGGACAAAAUUGUAAAAGUUACAAAAGUUAGUUUUAUUGGUAAUAAGUACUAAAUAGAUAUGGAAAUGAAAAUUUAUGGACCCAAAUGGUAAAUAUACCAUGUAUUUAUAUGUAGUGGACGGUGAAUGGGUGUUUUGGAGUGUAAAUUGAAUGUUUAAUUAAUGGUAAAAUGGUACAUAGAUAAUUAAGGUGAAAACAAAUAAAACAAAUAAGGCUAUCAUCUUUCUUCUUGUUGAUUGUCGAAAUUGGGAAAGAAAGUAGCCAUGAAAAUAGCUUAAGUAUUCGGUCACUUAAGGUGUUCCAUGUAAGUCCAUUUUAAACUCGUUUCUUGUAAUUUUUAUGUUUUUCACAUUGUUGCAACUAGGUCCAGCUAACUCGUACCUUCGUUUUUGAAACUGUUUAGGAUUUUGGAAUUUACCAUUGAUGAAUUCUUGUUGUUCAUAAUGUUAAAUGAUGGAUUUUAAGUAUUGGUUGUUGAUUAGAACUAGUUUGUAAAGUAAUUUUUGUUAGUUUUAGAAAAAAAGACAAAAUUAAUUGAAUAUUAAAAUUGAUAGGGAAUUCUUGAGAAUUUCGAAUAAUUGUGGAUUGUUAUUUUAUAGGUGAAAAUUCGGUUGACUUGGGAAAAUGUAAAAUUUUGUUAAAUUUGGAAUUUCGGGUUUAGGAAAUAAAUUGUGAAAAAUGUAAAAGUUUAGGGAGAAUGUGUAAAUAAUGAAAACUUAAGGGUUUCAUGCAUUGAAUCGAGUUUGAAAUGCAUGUGAAUGUAACAAACUGAAUUUAAUUACUAUAUAGAUCAAGAACCGAGUCAAAAAGACAAUAACCGAAGAAAGGGGAAAAUUACGGAGUAGUCCCUGCGUUUUAACUGGAAGUGGAUCGUAGGUAAGUUCAUAAUGUUUUGAUAUGCAGAUGUAUGUUGCUUAUGAUUAUAUCAUUUUUUUUUCUAGUUAGUGGUAUAUAUAUAUGUGGAAUUUCAUUAGUUACCUAUAUAUAUUAUUGAAUGUUGCAAAUAAGUAAAUAUGAAAAUGAAAAAUUGGUGGUAGCAAUUCCUGUGAUUGCACAUUAUCGACAUGAAUGUAUUGAUUUUAUAGUAUGUGUACGGAAAUGAUGAAGUGCUUUUGAAUAAUGAAUAUGUAUAAAGGUAACGAAUUUACGUAUAAUGCCUGGUUGAACGUAGUAAACGCUUAGGAUACGAUUGACAUGACAAUAGGGCAUACCUCUGUUUACACUUUGGUAUAUCUAUUUGCACUAGGGUGCUUCUGAUUGCAUAUUUGUGCCUCUGUCUGCACUUCGAUACAUCUGUUACGUAUCUAUGAUGCCUCUGGUGUGAUGUAGUUACCCAAGUAUCUGAGUCAAGUUACUUAGUUCAAUGGGUUAUGAAUUCUUUGAAUUACAACUUUACAUGUGCUUAAAUGAUAUUGUAUAUUCUUGGUAGUAGUAAAUGAAAAAUGUUCCAAUGAAUUUCAUAUUUUCAUGUGUACAUAGCUAAAUUGAGGAAACAUGGUUUAUGAUUAUGGUAAGCCAUUUGAGAAAGGGUUAUUAUGAUAUAGCAUGAUAUGUGAACAAAUACUAAUGUGGUGUGUGAACUUGUAUUUGGCUAUCAGGAAAUAUGUAUUAUCUAAUUGAAUAUCUAUUUUGUUUAAGGUAAGUUAAUUUGGUGUUUAAACUAUGAACUGACUAAGCUUCUUUAGCUUACUUGUUUUGUUUGUGGUUCUUUUGUAGUUACCAAUUUGCAGACUGACUGGAUGGAUCGAUUUGGAGCUCACCCUAUCCAGCCUCUCUGGUAGCUUUUGUUUAUCGUCUUGGGAUGUGGCAUCUAGAUAGGUUUUUAUUGUUGAUAUGUAAAAUGUU